rnacentral:rRNA from 1 species
CCUACGGGAGGCAGCAGUGAGGAAUAUUGGUCAAUGGGCGCGAGCCUGAACCAGCCAAGUAGCGUGAAGGAUGACUGCCCUACGUGUUGUAAACUUCUUUUGUAAAGGAAUAAAGUGAGGCACGUGUCCCUUUUUGUAUGUACUUUAUGAAUAAGGAUCGGCUAACUCCGUGCCAGCAGCCGCGGUAAUACGGAGGAUCCGAGCGUUAUCCGGAUUUAUUGGGUUUAAAGGGAGCGGAGUUGGGUUGUUAAGUCAGUUGUGAAAGUUGGGGGCUCAACCGUAAAAUUGCAAUUGAUACUGGCAGUCUUGAGUACAGUUGAGGUAGGCGGAAUUCGUGGUGUAGCGGUGAAAUGCUUAGAUAGCACGAAGAACCCCGAUUGCGAAGGCAGCUUAACAAACCGCCACUGACAUUGAUGCUCGAAAGUGUGGGUAUCAAACAGGAUUAGAUACCCUUGUAGUC